UGAGAGUUCAGAGUGUGAGAACAAAAGAAGGCAACACAAUGGCUGAAUUCAAAUCAUUUCAAAUGUUUCUGAUCCUGAUGAUUCCAUUUACAGCAGCAGUAACUCAGCAUUAUUCCAGCAUCAAUGUCAGAGUUGGAGAUGACGCUACUUUACCUUGUGAAGAUGUCAAAGAUUAUCAGGAUAAAUGUCACAGUACUACCUGGACCUUUGAUUACUUCCCAACUGAACCAGCAGUUACACUGUUUGAAUAUGGACAGAUUCACGCUGCAGCUAAAUCAUACAGACUGAGUGUUACAGAGAAAUGUUCUCUGGUUAUAAAGAAGGUCACAGAUGAGGAUGAUGGUUUUUACAUCUGCAGACAGUUUAUAUCAGGACAAAAACUUACAGACUCUUGGGUUUAUCUGUCUGUUUUCUACAGAGACAACGUAGCAACAACAACAACAACUAAAUUACCAACAACAACAACCAAAAGAACAACUAAAGCAACAACCAGACCAACAACAAUCAAAGCAACAACUAAAGCAACCAAAGCAACAACCAGACCAACAACUAAAGCAACCAAAGCAACAACCAGACCAACAACAACUAAAGCAACCAAAGCAACCUCCAGACCACCAACAACUAAAGUAACCAAAGCAACCUCCAGACCAACAACAACAACAGACCCAGCAGCAGGAGAAACAAGCCUAAAUGCAGAUCUCCUGAAGGUGCUGAUCCCUGUAGCUGUUGUUUCAGCAGCACUCUUGAUCAUCAUUGUGGCAGUCAUCAGAUGGAAGGGAGCUAAAGGGAACAACACCCAGUUGGACGACAACACUGCUGAUCCUCCAGAUGGUGUUUCCUACGCCUCCAUCCGCUACAAGAAGAAGACCAAGAGUAAAGUCCGGGUUCAGGGUGAAGAUGAUAUGGUGACCUACAGCACUCUCAACACUUCCACUGGGAUCAGCCUCCACUGAUCCCAGGAAGCUCUACACCUCCAUCAACAAGACCAACACAUGAGAGGCCACAGUGUAGCUACAUCUCUCUCUCUUCAAGUUUCUGAUUACUUC
ensembl:lncRNA